GGUUUUUGUGUCUGCACCAGACAGAACUGUUUCGGUGCCGUUGGUUCUCUUUGUUGGUUUGUUAAUCAGUGUUCAGUUCCAUGAAUAAAAGCAUGAACAUGUACCAUGCGGCACCUUGGUCCUCUCCUUCCAACGGCCGUUACAACGAGUGAAUAGAGUAGUCUUCAUUUCCUCUGGCAUACAGCCAUCAAUACUCUCUCCCAGACUGGAAUACUGGUACGAGACAGCCAUCAAUACACUCUCCCAGACUGGACUACUGGUACGAGACAGCCAUCAAUACUCUCUCCCAGACUGGAAUACUGGUACGAGACAGCCAUCAAUACUCUCUCCCAGACUGGACUACUGGUACGAGACAGCCAUCAAUACUCUCUCCCAGACUGGACUACUGGUACGAGACAGCCAUCAAUACUCUCUCCCAGACUGGACUACUGGUACGAGACAGCCAUCAAUACUCUCUCCCAGACUGGACUACUGGUACGAGACAGCCAUCAAUACUCUCUCCCAGACUGGACUACUGGUACAGGACAGCCAUCAAUACUCUCUCCCA